rnacentral:sRNA from 1 species
GGAUGAGAACCUCCGGGGGCAAGAGGUUCGACCCGAGCGAAGCGAGAGAACGUUGCGCCAGCAACGGCCCGCAGUGGCAAGUCAUCCUCUGUCACCGGCAG